CGCCCCUUUCAUGUGCUUUUUCCCAUUGUCUAUAUAUCAUUAGGACUGAUAUGUGUUUUGAGUUUCAUGUAAUUCUGAGCAUUUUAUCUGCCUCAAAAUCACUAGAACAGAAUAUUCAAGAUUGACACGUUGCCACGGCAACACUAUAUUAGAUAUCAAUAUCCCCACAACAGAUUUACAUCUGCCGUGUUUUUGUCAUUAUUCUGAUGAAGUUUGAAGCAAAUCGAGUAAAAAUAAGAUGCUGAAUUCAAAGAAUUUUUGAAAAUGACACACUUCCUGCUGCCAGCUGGUGGCGCUAUAACUUUGACUCCUAAUAGUCACAUCUAUGCGAUCGGCAUCAUACAUCAAACAAUCCGAUGAAGUUUGAUCUAAAUCAGAAAAUGUAUGUGGAUGUUAUUAGACAUUUCCUGUUUCUCAUUUUUUUGCCCUAAAUUCAACGCCUCGCAACGGACAAACCGUUCGAGAUAUCAAAAAUAUCUUCGCAAUUUAGCAUCCCCAAUGUCUUGAGAUCAUGUUCACCGAGUUUUGUGGCAAACGGGUGGAGUUCCUCAGAGGAGUAUAUCAAAUUCCAGAGCAUGUGUUUUUCACAAAACCCUAAAUAGCCAACUUCCUGUUGGGCGGAGCUUAUGACAUGCAGUGCGAAAGUUGUUUGGUUUGAUGAGAUCUACAUGUGUACUGAGUUUCAU
ensembl:lncRNA